rnacentral:misc_RNA from 1 species
GAAAAAAGGGAAGUGGGUCGGGCGUCGCCCGCACAUCAUUCUCCCGACCAAACGUAUUCACCCCAAGUUCCUGAAAAUUUUAAUAAAAAACUCGUAAAAAGACCAUCGGUUACAAAACGAUGGCGCUAAUAUAAGCGA